CCACACAUCAGCUGCAUAGCAUCACCUGGAAUCUUGUUAGAAAGGCAAAAUCUUGGGCCGUGCUCCAGACCUACUGAAUCAGAAUCUGUGAAGAUUCCCAGGGAGCGGACAGAUUGUUGAGGGCAGCAGGAGGAAGAAGGAGGAGCCGGAAGAAACGGGGAGAAGGGAACAAACCCCAGGAGAGGCCCUUCACCAGGGGCCGCCUGGAGGUCCCCGCCCUGGCGCACGGCUGCAGCUCCAGCUCUGGCUCCAGCUCCAGCUCCGGCUCCAGCUCCGGCUCCAGCUCCGGCUCCAGCUCCAGCUCCGGCUCCAGCUCCGGCUCCGGCUCCGGCUCCAGCUCCAGCUCCAGCUCCGGCUCCAGCUCCGGCUCCAGGGAGGUGCUGUUACAUGGCUUCCUUCUCUCUCUGGGAGCAUCUGCUGAGCUUCAUCUCCGUCAGCUGGAUGUACCGAAUCACGUUGGUGUCUGCGAGGAGAGAGAAACCUUAGGGAACACCCGUGGGGGCAACUGUUGGGUCUACGCAGAGUCGGGUCGGAGGUCCCGGCCCACGCCUGGCCCUGCUGGCCAUGACAGCAUGCACCACAACGGGAAGGCCUUUGGAGCUGCCAGAGGAGACUGGUGGUACAAAAACAGCAGUUGCCACCUUACCUGUUGGCUGUCGAGUCCUCGCUUCUUUCAGGACUUUGAGGCAAUACUCCUUGACUCGCUCGUAAUUCACCAGCUCAGCCUGGAGCAGGCACGCUAUGGACGCAGGGAGAGAGAAGGGAAAAUGCUAUCAGCACGCCAGACUCUCAUUGUCUUUCUGUGGGUCUUUCUCCCUGCCCAGAAAAGAUUUAGUAGUGUUGGGGCUUUAUGCUGGGGGUACAUGCCAUGGGAUCUGUCAUCAAAUAAACCAGGGUCUGGGACCCACCUUCAA